AUGGCGCUUCCCUGCGCAGCAGCCUCGCACAGGCCAGUGAAGCAGCGGUACAUAUUGGGCGGCAUGCGCCCAGCCUCGUCCCACUCCAUGGUGGCCAGAUCCAGCCGGAGGAUGAGCACCGUGGAGCAGGGCGCAUCCAAGGCGAAGGACGACCUGAGACCACCGAUCAUGAGGACGCGGCGGCCGCCCGCGCCGGCCAGCAGGCGGGGGCGCUUGAGGAUCUCGAAGACGUCGCCCCAGGAGGCGCGCUCGACGGGCGCCCAGCCGCCGGUGAGCCUGGCGAGCGGGCAGGAGAAGAGCUUCCACUGGCUGCGCCAGGGGGUGCCGACGUCGCAGAGCGCGAAGACGGCGCGGGCGCCGGCGGCCAGGAUGGGGCUCCGCGGCUUGGAGGGGAGCGAGAGGGGGUGCUUCAUCCACUUGCCAGAUCCCUCGGACGGGCUAUAG
rnacentral:rRNA from 1 species